CGGAAAACUGGGGAUAAUACCCUAUAGGCUAUGGAUGCUGGAAUGCUCGAUAUCCGAAAGGUCCGCCGCUGUAGGAUGGGUCUGCGGCCGAUUAGGUUGUUGUUGGGGUAACGGCCCAACAAGCCUGUAAUCGGUACGGGUUGUGGGAGCAAGAGCCCGGAGAUGGAUUCUGAGACAAGAAUCCAGGCCCUACGGGGCGCAGCAGGCGCGAAAACUUUACAAUGCGGGAAACCGUGAUAAGGGAACUCUGAGUGCCCGUAAAAUCGGGCUGUCCAUCAGUGUAAAUAACUGGUGAAGAAAGGGCCGGGCAAGACCGGUGACAGCCGCCGCGGUAACA
rnacentral:rRNA from 1 species